GCCCGGGUGGCGAAACGGUAGACGCAGCACGCUCAGAACGUGUGGUCCUCGCGGCGUGAGGGUUCGACUCCCUCCCCGGGCA
rnacentral:tRNA from 1 species